GUAUUUCUUCAGUCGCCCAAGCCUGGUGGGGGUCAGCAGUGCAGUGAAGUAAAGUGAAGUGGAGUGAAGGGAAGCUGAGCAUAAAGACAUAGAGGAAAUACUUAUGGGAAAUUCUUAGAGGAAAUAAUUAGAAGAAAUUCUCAGAGGAAAGACUUUGAAGAAAUACUUAGAGGAAACACUUAGCAGAAAUAAUUUGAGGAAAUUCUUAGAGGAAAUACUUAGAAGAAUUUCUAAAGGAAAACCCUAGAAUAAAUUUAUAGAGGAAAUACUUAAAAGAAAUUCUUAAACGAAACACUUAGAGGAAAUACGUUAGAAAACUUAGAAACUUGACAUGCGCGUGGUAUAUAUGGACAGCUUGACGCUCUUAAGAAUAUAUAUAUGUACUUUUAAUACCAUACAUUAUAUAAAUAUUUUCUUUUUUCUUUUAUUUUUAUUUUUUUUUUUUCUUUUAAAUUCACUAAAGUUUUGCUGUGUUUAAAAAUACAGAAUAUAUUUUUUCAGCAGUCUGUAUAUAAUGUGUGUAAUCGAUAUAAAAUUAUAAUUCGGCCUUGCUUGACUGAUUUGAUGGAGAAUAUCCCACUGAAAAUUGCGUAAAUUCACCUAAAACAUCGCGCUGAUCACAUAGCGACCAAAUAAAUAUUGUCUAGAUCGAGAUCUCAUGCUGUUCAAGCAUUUAUAUAUAAUCUUAUAACCUUGAAUUGAUAUUAUUGUGGAACAAGUGGAAAAAGGAAGAGAUUGUUAUUAAACGUUUACGCUAGAAUAAACCUUGAUUUUGAACUUUGUA